rnacentral:rRNA from 1 species
UGGGGAAUAUUGGACAAUGGGGGGAACCCUGAUCCAGCCAUGCCGCGUGUGUGAAGAAGGCCUUAUGGUUGUAAAGCACUUUAAGGGAGGAGGAGGGUACUGGUAUAAAUACUACAAGUUACGGGACGUAACUCGCAGAAUAAGCACCGCCUAACUCGGUGCAAGCAGCCGCGGUAAUACAGAGGGUGCGAGCGUUAAUCGGAUUUACUGGGCGUAAAGCGUGCGUAGGCGGCUAAUUGAGUCGGAUGUGAAAUCCCCGAGCUUAACUUGGGAAUUGCAUUCGAUACUGGUUAGCUAGAGUGUGGGAGAGGAUGGUAGAAUUCCAGGUGUAGCGGUGAAAUGCGUAGAGAUCUGGAGGAAUACCGAUGGCGAAGGCAGCCAUCUGGCCUAACACUGACGCUGAGGUACGAAAGCAUGGGGAGCAAACAGG